CCUACGGGUGGCAGCAGUGGGGAAUAUUGCACAAUGGGGGAAACCCUGAUGCAGCGAUGCCGCGUGAGUGAAGAAGUAUCUCGGUAUGUAAAGCUGUAUCAGCAGGGAAGAAAAAGACGGUACCUGACUAAGAAGCCCCGGCUAACUCCGUGCCAGCAGCCGCGGUAAUACGUAGGGGGCAAGCGUUAUCCGGAUUUACUGGGUGUAAAGGGAGCGUAGACGGCGCUGCAAGUCCGGAGUGAAAGCCCGUGGCUUAACCAUGGUACUGCUGUGGAAACUGUGGGGCUUGAGUGCGGGAGGGGCAGGCGGAAUUCGGAGUGUAGCGGUGAAAUGCGUAGAUAUACGGAAGAACACCAGUGGCGAAGGCGGAUUGCUGGACAGUAACUGACGCUGAGGCGCGAAAGCGUGGGGAGCAAACAGGAUUAGAUACCCUUGUAGUC
rnacentral:rRNA from 1 species